rnacentral:rRNA from 1 species
GACGAACGCUGGCGGCGUGCUUAACACGUGCAAGUCGAACGGAAAGGCCCUGCUUUUGUGGGGUGCUCGAGUGGCGAACGGGUGAGUAACACGUGAGUAACCUGCCCUUGACUUUGGGAUAACUUCAGGAAACUGGGGCUAAUACCGGAUAGGAGCUCCUGCUGCAUGGUGGGGGUUGGAAAGUUUCGGCGGUUGGGGAUGGACUCGCGGCUUAUCAGCUUGUUGGUGGGGUAGUGGCUUACCAAGGCUUUGACGGGUAGCCGGUCUGAGAGGGUGACCGGCCACAUUGGGACUGAGAUACGGCCCAGACUCCUACGGGAGGCAGCAGUGGGGAAUAUUGCACAAUGGGCGGAAGCCUGAUGCAGCAACGCCGCGUGCGGGAUGACGGCCUUCGGGUUGUAAACCGCUUUCGCCUGUGACGAAGCGUGAGUGACGGUAAUGGGUAAAGAAGCACCGGCUAACUACGUG